rnacentral:rRNA from 1 species
UAAUAUUCCUGUACUUGGUGUUACUGCGAAGGGGGGACGGAGAAGGCUAUGUUGGCCGGGCGACGGUUGUCCCGGUUUAAGCGUGUAGGCUGGUUUUCCAGGCAAAUCCGGAAAAUCAAGGCUGAGGCGUGAUGACGAGGCACUACGGUGCUGAAGCAACAAAUGCCCUGCUUCCAGGAAAAGCCUCUAAGCAUCAGGUAACAUCAAAUCGUACCCCAAACCGACACAGGUGGUCAGGUAGAGAAUACCAAGGCGCUUGAGAGAACUCGGGUGAAGGAACUAGGCAAAAUGGUGCCGUAACUUCGGGAGAAGGCACGCUGAUAUGUAGGUGAAGUCCCUCGCGGAUGGAGCUGAAAUCAGUCGAAGAUACCAGCUGGCUGCAACUGUUUAUUAAAAACACAGCACUGUGCAAACACGAAAGUGGACGUAUACGGUGUGACGCCUGCCCGGUGCCGGAAGGUUAAUUGAUGGGGUCAGCGCAAGCGAAGCUCUUGAUCGAAGCCCCGGUAAACGGCGGCCGUAACUAUAACGGUCCUAAGGUAGCGAAAUUCCUUGUCGGGUAAGUUCCGACCUGCACGAAUGGCGUAAUGAUGGCCAGGCUGUCUCCACCCGAGACUCAGUGAAAUUGAACUCGCUGUGAAGAUGCAGUGUACCCGCGGCAAGACGGAAAGACCCCGUGAACCUUUACUAUAGCUUGACACUGAACAUUGAGCCUUGAUGUGUAGGAUAGGUGGGAGGCUUUGAAGUGUGGACGCCAGUCUGCAUGGAGCCGGCCUUGAAAUACCACCCUUUAAUGUUUGAUGUUCUAACGUGGACCCGUGAUCCGGGUUGCGGACAGUGUCUGGUGGGUAGUUUGACUGGGGCGGUCUCCUCCUAAAGAGUAACGGAGGAGCACGAAGGUUGGCUAAUCCUGGUCGGACAUCAGGAGGUUAGUGCAAUGGCAUAAGCCAGCUUGACUGCGAGCGUGACGGCGCGAGCAGGUGCGAAAGCAGGUCAUAGUGAUCCGGUGGUUCUGAAUGGAAGGGCCAUCGCUCAACGGAUAAAAGGUACUCCGGGGAUAACAGGCUGAUACCGCCCAAGAGUUCAUAUCGACGGCGGUGUUUGGCACCUCGAUGUCGGCUCAUCACAUCCUGGGGCUGAAGUAGGUCCCAAGGGUAUGGCUGUUCGCCAUUUAAAGUGGUACGCGAGCUGGGUUUAGAACGUCGUGAGACAGUUCGGUCCCUAUCUGCCGUGGGCGCUGGAGAACUGAGGGGGGCUGCUCCUAGUACGAGAGGACCGGAGUGGACGCAUCACUGGUGUUCGGGUUGUCAUGCCAAUGGCACUGCCCGGUAGCUAAAUGCGGAAGAGAUAAGUGCUGAAAGCAUCUAAGCACGAAACUUGCCCCGAGAUGAGUUCUCCCUGACCCUUUAAGGGUCCUGAAGGAACGUUGAAGACGACGACGUUGAUAGGCCGGGUGUGUAAGCGCAGCGAUGCGUUGAGCUAACCGGUACUAAUGAACCGUGAG